rnacentral:rRNA from 1 species
UGCGUAGGCGGGCUAAUAAGUCAGUGGUGAAAUCCUGCCGCUUAACGGUAGAACUGCCAUUGAAACUGCUGGGCUUGAGUACAGUUGAGGUAGGCGGAAUGUGUAGUGUAGCGGUGAAAUGCUUAGAUAUUACACAGAACCCCGAUUGCGAAGGCAGCUUACUAAACUGUAACUGACACUGAGGUACGAAAGCGUGGGGAGCGAACAGGAUUAGAUACCCUGGUAGUCC